rnacentral:rRNA from 1 species
UACAGAGGGUGCAAACGUUGUUCGGAUUUACUGGGCGUAAAGCGCGUGUAGGCUGCUUCGCAAGUCGGAUGUGAAAGCCCUGGGCUCAACCCAGGAAGUGCAUUCGAAACUGCAGAGCUGGAGUCCUGGAGAGGAAGGCGGAAUUCUCGGUGUAGAGGUGGAAUUCGUAGAUAUCGAGAGGAACACCGGUGGCGAAGGCGGCCUUCUGGACAGUGACUGACGCUGAGACGCGAAAGCGUGGGGAGCAAACAGG